GACGAACGCUGGCGGCGUGCUUAACACAUGCAAGUCGAACGGAAAGGCCCUGCUUGCAGGGUACUCGAGUGGCGAACGGGUGAGUAACACGUGGGUGCUCUGCCCUGCACUUCGGGAUAAGCCUGGGAAACUGGGUCUAAUACCGGAUAGGAGCCAUUUUUAGUGUGAUGGUUGGAAAGUUUUUUCGGUGUAGGAUGAGCUCGCGGCCUAUCACCUUGUUGGUGGGGUAAUGGCCUACCAAGGCGGCGACGGGUAGCCGGCCUGGGAGGGUGGACGGCCACAAUGGGACUGAGAGACGGCCCAGACUCCUACGGGAGGCAGCAGUGGGGAAUAUGGCACAAUGGGCGCAAGCCUGAUGCAGCGACGCCGCGUGGGGGAUGACGGCCUUCGGGUUGUAAACUCCUGUCGCUAGGGACGAAGCUUUUUGGGACGGGACCUAGAUAAGAAGCACCGGCUAACUACGU
rnacentral:rRNA from 1 species